CUUUAAUGGCUGGUGUUCUAACGUGGACCCGUAAUCCGGGUUGCGGACAGUGUCUGGUGGGUAGUUUGACUGGGGCGGUCUCCUCCUAAAGAGUAACGGAGGAGCACGAAGGUUAGCUAAUCCUGGUCGGACAUCAGGAGGUUAGUGCAAAGGCAUAAGCUAGCUUGACUGCGAGAGUGACGGCUCGAGCAGGUGCGAAAGCAGGUCUUAGUGAUCCGGUGGUUCUGAAUGGAAGGGCCAUCGCUCAACGGAUAAAAGGUACUCCGGGGAUAACAGGCUGAUACCGCCCAAGAGUUCAUAUCGACGGCGGUGUUUGGCACCUCGAUGUCGGCUCAUCACAUCCUGGGGCUGAAGUAGGUCCCAAGGGUAUGGCUGUUCGCCAUUUAAAGUGGUACGCGAGCUGGGUUUAGAACGUCGUGAGACAGUUCGGUCCCUAUCUGCCGUGGGCGCUGGAGAAUUGAGGGGGGCUGCUCCUAGUACGAGAGGACCGGAGUGGACGCAUCACUGGUGUUCGGGUUGUCAUGCCAAUGGCAUUGCCCGGUAGCUAAAUGCGGAAGAGAUAAGUGCUGAAAGCAUCUAAGCACGAAACUUGCCCCG
rnacentral:rRNA from 1 species